AAAACAGGAGCAAGAGAUACCAAUAUGUGUGCGCAAAUUAUAGAUCUGUAUCUCCCACAUACCUGUGAGGCCAGAUCUUGAGGUCAUCUUCAGUGGACUUCAAAAUGAGAUCAACAGAUGAUUGUUUGUUAGCAGGAGGCAGAGGGGAAGGGUCUUCAUCAAGAGACCAGAAUCUGUUGCGCGCAAACCCAUGUCGCUCAAGUCCACCAAAGUUUCCAAACUGCAAAAGAUGGCAACAGUAGUCUUGAUGG